UACGAGUUUGAUCAUGGCUCAGGAUGAACGCUAGCGGCAGGCUUAAUACAUGCAAGUCGAGGGGCAGCGCGGGUAGCAAUACCUGGCGGCGACCGGCAAACGGGUGCGGAACACGUACGCAACCUUCCCAUAACUGGUGAAUAGCCCUCCGAAAGGAGGAUUAAUACACCGUAAGAUAACGAAGAGGCAUCUCUUUGUUAUUAUAGCUACGGGCGGUUUUGGAUGGGCGUGCGCCUGAUUAGGUAGUUGGCGGGGUAACGGCCCACCAAGCCUACGAUCAGUAACUGGUGUGAGAGCACGACCAGUCACACGGGCACUGAGACACGGGCCCGACUCCUACGGGAGGCAGCAGUAAGGAUAUUGGUCAAUGGACGCAAGUCUGAACCAGCCAUGCCGCGUGAAGGAUGAAGGUCCUCUGGAUUGUAAACUUCUUUUAUCUGGGACGAAAAAAGGGCUUUCUAGCUCACUUGACGGUACCAGAGGAAUAAGCACCGGCUAACUCCGUG
rnacentral:rRNA from 1 species